ensembl:lncRNA
CAGGUUUUGAAGCAAAUGUGUGUUGGACAUGUGGUACUGGGCACAGAUGUCUCUCUUUUCCCCUACAACUUUGGAGUCCACUGUCCUCAUGCUGGCAAGGCUUAAGGGACACGACAGAGCUGGCCUUCCCGGGGCCACAUCAGGGGCCUUCCAUGAAUCACUCCUUUGGACCCUCCCCGCCAAUUACCCUCCCCACAGAGUGGAGCAUCAGAGACUAAAGGAAAUAAAACAGGGCAGAAGAUGCACCAAGGAGCUUCUGAUACAGCUAAAAGAAGGAAAGGAAAGAACCAUUCUGAUCUGUUUCCAUGAUCCAUAGUGAACUUCAAGAUCAUUUCAAGUUUUCUCAUCAUCGGAACUUGCCAGAUCACUGCUCUGCCUCACACUGUCCGAUACGUGGACCAAUCAGAGCCACUCUAUGAGUAAUCACUAAUCACUUUUGUUUCUUGCUUUUAGAUAUACUUCAGAUAGAAACAAAGGUUCUCCUCUUCCCAAUGUCGGGAGUUUGUCUUGAGGCUGACUUUGAGUGCCCACUAUCUGGUAUCCCCUUGUCAGUAAAGGUCUUUGAUUCUGCA